rnacentral:misc_RNA from 1 species
AGCAGCCGCGGUAAUUCCAGCUCCAAUAGCGUAUAUUAAAGUUGUUGCAGUUAAAAAGCUCGUAGUUGAAUUUCGGGGUUAGUAGGUUGGUCAUGCCUCUGGUAUGUACUGGUCUCACUGAUUCCUCCUUCCUGAUGAGCCGUAAUGCCAUUAAUUUGGUGUUGCGGGGAAUUUGGACUGUUACUUUGAAAAAAUUAGAGUGUUUAAAGCAAGCUAACGCUUGAAUACAUUAGCAUGGAAUAGUGAAAUAGGACGUUCGAUCCUAUUUUGUUGGUUUCUAGGAUUGACGUAAUGAUUAAUAGGGAUAGUUGGGGGCAUUAGUAUUCAAUUGUCAGAGGUGAAAUUCUUGGAUUAUUGAAGACUAACUACUGCGAAAGCAUUUGCCAAGGAUGUUUUCAUUAAUCAAGAACGAAAGUUAGGGGAUCGAAGACGAUCAGAUACCGUCGUAGUCUUAACCAUAAACUAUGCCGACUAGGGAUCGGAUGAUGUUAAUUUUUUAAUGACUCAUUCGGCGCCUUAC